rnacentral:lncRNA from 1 species
AUUCAAGGCAAAAAAAUCCAAAUUGAACUGAUUGAAUCCAUCAGUUCUAAAAUAAUUGAGCAAAUUGUCUACAAGGUCAAAAUGUACAAAUAUUUAUCAAUAAUUUCGGACUGCACCCCUGAUCUGAUUAAUAAAGAACAAAUCUCUGUCAUAGUCACGGUCGUGUCACAAGAAGACGUACCCUAAUUUAAGGAGUUUUUCUUGUGAUGUAUUGUUUUAGACAGUCGACAGGAGAAAAUUUGUGAUCUCUAAUCCUGAAAAAGCUGGAAGAGCUUAAGAUCCCAUUUGAGGAUUGCCGAAGCCAGUCUUAUGACAAUGAGGCGAACAUGAAGGGCAGGAAAAAAGGUGUUCCGCUAAUGUUACUUCAGCUGAACCCAAAAGCUUUUUUAUUCAAUUUGGUGCUCACACAUUAAAUCUGCUCGUAGCUGAUGCAGCAAAAAGCUAUUCAGAUCCCUCUAACUACUUUGUCCAUUUGACAAAGUUAUUCCAGCUCUUCUCGUCCUCCACCCAUAAGUGGAACGCCCUCCUGAAACAUAUGAGAAUCACUCUGAAAUUAUGGGCAGAGACCAGAUAGGAAAGUAGUAUAAAAAGUAUUAAGGUAGUAGGGUAUCAGCCUGAGCAAGUCAGGGAGGCUCUUCUGGAGGUCAGAAUUGCAGAUACGGUAUUUACAGUCGAAGAUCAGUCUUUGACCGAUGAGCUUGGAUCCUAUCACUUUUGCAUUUGUACAGCUGUAUGGUAUGACGUUCUCAGCAAGAUCCAUUUUUUCAGUAAACUGAUGCAGUCACUCUCCAUGCAGGUUGAUGUGCUGCUGACUUGCUGAAGAAAGUCAAUAUUUCCUUAACAGCUUCAGGAUAACUGGUUUUGCUGCUGCACAGAUUUUUUAAACAAAGAUGUGUAAGGAGAUGAAUGUGGAGACGGAACUCCAGCAGAAGCGUUUGAAAACCAUCAAAAGGCACUUUGGGUAUGAGUCUCCAGAUGAGUCUAUACAAGAUACGCUUCGAACAAUGGAAACUAUUUUUUCUAAUGUAGUAGGGGAUGCUGCAAUAUCAUUACUUGAUAAGAGAUUUCAGAGGCUUGGAGAGGUGAAUAACACUUUUGCUGUGCUGCACGAAUUCACCAACUUAGGAAGAGAGGACCAGCUAGAGAAGUGCCAACCCCUAAGUGUUUCUCAUGACAGUCAACUGUUCUAAGAUAAAGAAUAAUAUAAAAUAAGAAAAUCAAAUUUACUAAAGUCUGGAAGUCUAGACAAGCAAAAUUAAGAUUAUUUCAUACCGCAAAUAAAAUAUGUGAAGGAAAUAUUAAUUAAGUACAAUAGAAACAGCAAAAAAUAAUAAAAACGGUCGAACUGAUUUAUUAUCUAAGGGUGUUAAUGCAAAUACUCAUUUAAGCAGAAAGAAGAGUGGUAAUAUAUCGAAGAAGAAGAAGUCAAAUAAGUCGGAGAUUUCGGAACAAUGAGUGUAUAUACACUGUGGUCUCCAAUUUCCUCAUAGGAAUGGGGAAAUAUCCCUAGCAAAAACGCGUGGAAUGCACAAGAUUUGGGAGGAGAUGCCACUACACAAGAGUGUGCAAUUGUCAAAAAGAAUAUUCUAUUUAGAUCUUGAACUCUAUUCAAAAAUUUGAACUGAUUAAAUUACCCAUCGGUUUAUUGAAAGUCAUGGAAAUUAUUACAAAAUAUAACAACUGCUUGUGAUAGUGGUGCAUUGAUAUCCGUCGCUGGAUCAAGAGUAGGAAGAAAAAAUAUCUAUUCCAACCAAUUAUAAGAGUAUCGUUUAAGAUAUAUCUUUAACUUAAAUUAAUCAUUUAUUUACACAUGAAGGAAGAGAGGUUGUUAUAUAUUAUUAAUGUAUAACUUCUGUAUAAAUAACUAUAUAUGAAUGUAUAUUAUAUUCAAUCUAUAUUAUGCAAGACAAAAUUUAUUGUCAGUUAAUUAGAGAACAACAUCAUUACAGGAAGUGCACGCGUUACUUCUUUGUGACCAUAAAGGGUGAAUAGAUAAUUUUUAGAUAACCACCAAAAGGUACUUUGGAAAAGUUGUAUGUAUUUAAGAGUGCGGAGGCGUCUUUUUUUUGCUACAUUGUGAUAAUUUAAUAUUGAUCGACAUAGAGUGCAUAGAAGAGGAUUUCUCACAUAAUUGAAUACGUAAGAUUACCUUACAUUUGUUAAGUGAUUUAAUAUAAGGUUUAGUGCAAACAACUAGGCUCUACCAGGCCAAAAUCUUCAAGCAUAAGAGUAAGAUAAAGAAGUCUAUAACAUUUAUAAGAAGGGCAAAUGCCAUUUUUGUUUCAUAGUCUUCUCACUCCUGCCUAUAAGGAGCGGGUCUUGACUCGUACGCGUGUGCUUCAUUCUUUUCAUUCAUUUCUUUAGUUAUAAAUUUUCCUGUGAUUAGUCACUUAUUGCUCAUCUCGUAAUUAAAAUGGAAUCAAAUGCUACUGAUAACCCUCCUGAAGAGGACUCAAAUGAAAUAAUACACAAAGGUAUAAUAAGAAAUGGAUCAGAGGGAGCGUCAUUAAAGAAGAUAAAUAUAAAUAAAAUGGAAGGAGAAGAAAAGAUUGAUAAUACAAGAAUCAAGAACAGAAAAGUUCCUUUUGCUUCGAAUUACUUGCAAGCUCUUAAGAAAAAUUUAGCUGCCAAGGCAGUUAGGAACAGAAUAAUUGUUGACCUGAAGUCUUUCGAUAGUGAUUUAUCUCCCAAUAUACCUACGGCUGUAGAUCUGGAAAAUAUGAUUUUCGAGAUUCUGAAGUUGGAUCGGGCAUUAUUCAAAAAGUUAGAGCUUGUCCUGGGUAUAAGCACUUAAUCAUCAUCGAGUUAAAGAAGGAAUUGGAUAUUCGGAUUUUAUUCACACAUGUUGAAGAUGAAUUUAUAAUUGGGAAAGCGGAAGGCCACUACAAAGGGUUGAAAGGCUCUAUAAGAGGUCUGAAGGCCCAACGGAGAGACGGGGAGGGAAAUCCUAUUAUUUAUGAAAAAGUUAUAAAGAUUCAUUCUCCACAUGAAGAUAUUUAGGGUGAAGAUGUGUUCUGAGAGGUUGUGGGUCCGGUCAGAGAAGAUUGUUUUAAGGAUGGAAGACUGAGAGGCAUUUUAAAUGGAAAUUUUAGCGUCAAGGCUACCCUAAGAUAUGAUAUUCCUGGUUUCCUACCUAUCAGAGGUUUUAGGACAAGAGUAACAUAUGUGGGACAAGACAGAUAUUGUGGAAAGUGCUAUGAAGUUGGGUACUUUGCUGGAGAAUGUCCUAAUAAUUUUGUAAAAUGGAGUAGUUAUGUGGAAACAUUCAAGACUGGGAAUCAAAAUGAAAGGAAGGAGGAAACUGCAUACUCUCACUAAUAGUAUGGAAAAAGAUGGCGAAGAUUCUUCAGCAAAGGUGUCAAGUAAUGACGGGGAAAGGAAUUCGCAACGCAAGGAAAAUGAUAUGUCUACAUGUUCCGCUACACAGAUGGAUGAAAUGAAUAAAAGUUCUGCAGAAAAGAAUAAUCCCGCUGAUGUUUCUGAAGUAGAAAGCGUACAUUCAAAUAUUGGGAUGGAUGGAACGGAGGAAUUGUCAAAACGAGUGGCUAAUGAUAAAUUGAUUAGAACAAAAAAAACCUACAAAACCACCAAUCGUGGAUGAGGUUAUAAUGUCUUCUAGGACUAGAUCUGGAUCGAUUUCUAAGAGGACGGCUUUGGACUUAGAAUUAUCUCCUAACAAGAGGACCCCUCAAAAAUUUAAGAAAAAUCCGGAUUAAUAUCGGAUAAUUUAUUAUUACUGUUCAUUCUACCAACUAGUUUUUUUAACAUGAUGUAUUUUAAUAAGCUUCAAAAGCAGUCAAGUCAAAUGACAGCGAAUUACAACAUCCGUAGAUCAUAUGCAGAUGACAUCAAAAGGAAUAUGGGUAUGAAAAGAAUAGUUUCAUUAAAUACUAGAGGAGGGAGAGAACGGAGAACUAGACAUGCUAUGAUGAAAAGGAUUCUCGUUCUACAACCAAACGUAAUAUGCUUACAGGAUAUACGAUCUAAAGUGUCUUCCUCUUGUUUAAGUUCAUGUACAUUAUGCCUUCCCUUCGAUUUUAAAAUGUACUACACGGGAUGCAGCCCACUUCGAGGAAUAAUCACUUUUGUUGCUAAGUCGGUGGGGAAAUCAAAAUGUGUUAAAGAAUACUCCUAUAAAAUGAGAAAAGGAAAAGAGUUAAACAGUUAGAGGAAGACAUAAAUGAAAUCAUGAAUAAAGGAUCCUUCUUUGUCCGUAUGCUAACUUCGGAAAAUAUGAAUACAUUCGGGAUUCCCAAAAUUGCCGAAGAAGAGAUGAAGAGGAAAGUAGAUACGGAAAGAAAUCCGCAUAAGAGAUUAAUACAUUUAUCGACGAAAACAAGAAUUUCUGCUCAAAGAAUUGAAAAGAUUAUUGUAAAUAAUAAAGUAAUUACAAAUCCGAAAUCUAUUCUCAAAGUGUUUCAGGAUAAGUAUCAAGGAAUAUUGGGAUGCUCUAGGAGUGGAUUUCCUAGACCAAAAAAAGUGGCAUCUUGUUCUAUCUUUACAUAUGAUAAUAUAUUGGACUAUAUCAAUAAUUUUACAGAGAUGACAAAGCUUCUGGACCUGACAAUAUAAAAGGAAAAAUAUAUACCCUAUGUAGUUAGUAUAUUGUUCCCUAUUUACUUAGGUUUGGAUUGGAGAUGGAAAAGAGGGGUAUGCUCCCCUCAGCUCUAACUUGAGGUAGGAUUUCUCUCAUCCCCAAAAAAGAUAAUGGGACAUCACUUAGUCAUUGGAGGCAUUUGACAAUACUUAAUUAAUCAUACAGAAUUUUAGCAGGUGUUUUAGCAAAACAAAUCAAGCCUAUACUUGACAAAAAGUUGGGUCCAGGACAAAAAGGUUUUAAAAAAACGACACAUUGCUGAUAUUUCACGAAAUAUUCAGACAACUAUUAAUUCCGUUAAAAUGAGAAAAAAAUUGGAGCAAUCAUUGCGAUUGACUUCAGCAAAGCUUUUGACUCGAUAAAUCAUAAUUUUAACCUAUGUGCUGUAAAGAAGUACCUUCCAAGAAGUUUUUUUAAUCCAAUCUGUCAAUGUCCAAUCAAGGAUGUCCCGUAUCUCCGUUACUGUUUGUAGCUGUAAUGACUCGAUUACAGCCAAUAGCUAAGGCUCUAGAUAAGGUAAAAAGGAACAAAUCCACUAUUUCUGAAGUAGUCAAUAUUUGGAAAGAGUUAUGUUAACACCUCAAAAACAACAAACAAGAGGAAAAACUCUUGAGAAAUAGUUAUAAACAGACACUACCAAGGCUCAUCUUCUUGACAACAUGCUUGAUCUUUCACUGCAAGGAAGGAACUUAAUGAAGAAAAGAUGAAUAUGGCAAUAUAAUAUACCAAUAAGAAAUAUCCAGCACUUGAUCCUAUCAUCAUGAAGUUUCGGGCUAGAUCACCUCCUCUUCAGUUAUUUAAGUUUACAGAACAUGUGACCAAUACUAUGUCAGCUACUGAAUGGUAGGAAUCUCAUGCAGAUUUUAUGGUCAGUAAUGCCGAUGAAAUUAUUUCUGCACUUUAUCAACUUAUGACUGCCGUAGCCAUGUCAUCUGGAGUAGAACGAGUCUUUUCAUCUUUUGGACUAGUAUAUUCUAAGCUGAGGAACUUCUUCGGUAUAGAGAAGGCAGCAAUGCUUGUUUUUCUUUUCAAGUCCAUGACAUUAAAUUAUUUUAAAAUUAAGGAAUAAUAAUUUCCGUUGUGUAAGAAAGCUCA